AAACAGUGAAAGUGGAACGUGUGU
rnacentral:siRNA from 1 species